GCGUCCUCCCAGCGCCAGGGAGAAAGAGGCGGAGCUCGGCCUCAAUCCCGCAGGUGUCGUCAUGGGAGUUGUAGUUUUCCUCGCGGGCGUACAGGGCACGAACUCUCCGGCUUUUGCCCGGUAAAUAGCAUCUCUUUCAUAUGAGUCAUUCAAAUGAUAGACACAGCCUAGGUAGCUUCAAGAGAAGAUGGUAAGAGGAAGGUGCAAAGCCAGGAAGGCAAACCUAAAGGUUGUGGGUGGGGCAGAGAAAGGGUUCACACUCAGUACGCAUGCGCACACUAGACGAGGCAGGUAGGCGGGGACGGAAAGGCGGUGGAGAGAGCCGUGUUGUCCCCGGAAGUGCCUGCCCUCCUCCCGGGUCUGAGCGGACGCGGCCUCCUUACCUCAUUUGUCCUCGCCCCUCCCCGUUCUCCUACGCGUUUGGGUUCCCGGUUGGCGCUUCCUGUUUGCAGCCGCUGCAGUGAGUAUGAUAAAGAACUCAUCUAGAGGCAGUUGCUGAAUUCCUGACAUUUAUUAGGCACUCAACCAAGACUUGAUAACUAAUUAAAAUUUGAGUAGAGUGGGUUACCUAUUUGAAUUUUAGGUUUUCAAAUGAUAUUUUAUUUGAUCUGGGUUUUCACAUAUGCAAUUUUUUUUCCAUGUGUGGGUUAAUUUCCAACUUGCCUGGCUGAUACUUACUCAUACCUCAAAUAUCAGUUUAAAAGGUCAUUUCUGAAUGAGGUGUAAUGGUCAUAGGUUCUCAGUUAGUGGUUUCUGUUGGGUCUGUUAGAACUCUACAGUUAAUUAGCUUUGACUUUGGGUAACUUAAUUAUUGGUUAAAAAAAGAUACAUUUAAAAAAUUAAAGUUAUAGAGCUAAAGUGAGAGAAUGGAUAGACUUAAGGUAAUAGGCAAAUAUUUUGAUAUAAGUCUUCACAAAUACAUGAUAGGUUCAUGAUCAUUGUGGCAAAUAUGGGCUUAUUAUCUUCCACUGUGGUUUUUUCUGUUUUUUGUUUGUUGUUUUUCUUUUGCGAGGAGGUC